rnacentral:tRNA from 1 species
GCCGGCGUGGUGGAAUUGGCAGACGCGCGGGAUUCAAAAUCCCGUGGUAGAAAUACCGUGUGGGUUCGACCCCCACCGCCGGCACCA